GUAAAAAUUCAAAAAUAAACAGAGGGGAGGAGCCUAGGCCCUGCUUGUAUAUAGGAGCCUAAAUGGUGUUUAGAAAUAAAAUUUUUGGGUCUGUGAAGAUAGUAUCACAAAAAAAGUGUACACUAAAACAAAAAAAAACACAUCCAAAAGACAGACACAAUAAACAAUAAACUUAUUGCAAGUCUUCUCUUUUUUAGAGUUUAGAUGUCAUUUUCAGGUUAAACUGUAAUCAUAAUGUGGCAAAAUUGUAAAAACUGAUACAUCUGUAUGAUCAAAAUGGAAAACAUCAAAUCAAUGAGAUUUAAAAUGUUAUAACAGUUAAUUUAUUAAUGUUUUGCCAUGAAUUCAUAAAAACUGUACUAGAUGAAUGAGCCCAUUAGUGGUCUUCCGCUGCCAUCUAGUGGUUAUAAAUUGCAUUUACUCAAACAACACUGUGUUUUUAAACAUAACUGUUAAAGUGUUGUUGUUAUUUUUUUUUGCCCUAUCUCUCUUAAAUUUUGCAUGCUUGUUUAGAAUGAAAUUAUGCAUUACUUUACACAGUUUUGAUAAUUUGUGGGAUUUCUAUUUGUAUUAAUAGGCCUUUGUGCCUCUGGGGUGGUCUCGGCCAACCAGGAUGUAUGGAUGACAUUUAAACACAUCCAAAAGACAGACACACACACACACUGAAAAUAAAUGAUUAAACUAGUUUUUAAGAGUUUAGAUGUCAUUCAGGUUUCACUGUAAUCACAAUGUGGCAAAAUUGUAAAAAAAUGAUGUGUAUGUACGAACAAAAUGGAAAACAUUGAAUCAAUGAGAUGUAAAAUGUUAUAACACUUCUGCAAACAGAUAUGAUAGAAUAGAUAAAAUAAAUAUGCUUUAAAACAGCUAGUUUCAUCAUAUGCAUGCUCCUGGGAGCAUUUUAGGCAGAAUUGGUCACUUUUGCAUGAAAAGUUACAUUGCCACUAGAAAUAUGCUAUUCUCACUCAGAAACGCUGUUCUGAGCUAGAUAUGCUUUAAAACAGCUAGUUUCAUCAUAUGCAUGCUCCUGGGAGCAUUUUAGGCAGAAUUGGUCACUUUUGCAUGAAAAGUUACAUUGCCACUAGAAAUAUGCUAUUCCCACUCAGAAACGCUGUUCUGAGCUAGAUAUGCUUUAAAACAGCUAGUUUCAUCAUAUGCAUGCUCCUGGGAGCAUUUUAGGCAGAAUUGGUCACUUUUGCAUGAAAAUUACAUUGCCACUAGAAAUAUGCUAUUCUCACUCAGAAACGCUGUUCUGAGCUAGAUAUGCUUUAAAACAGCUAGUUUCAUCAUUUGCAUGCUCCUGGGAGCAUUUUAGGCAGAAUUGGUCACUUUUGCAUGAAAAGUUACAUUGCCACUAGAAAUAUGCUAUUCUCUCUCAGAAACGCUGUUCUGUGCUAGAUAUGCUUUAAAACAGCUAGUUUCAUCAUAUGCAUGCUCCUGGGAGCAUUUUAGGCAGAAUUGGUCACUUUUGCAUGAAAAGUUACAUUGCCACUAGAAAUAUGCUAUUCUCUCUCAGAAACGCUGUUCUGAGCUAGAUACGCUUUAAAACAGCUAGUUUCAUCAUAUGCAUGCUCCUGGGAGCAUUUUAGGCAGAAUUGGUCACUUUUGCAUGAAAAGUUACAUUGCCACUAGAAAUAUGCUAUUCUCACUCAGAAACGCUGUUCUGAGCUAGAUACGCUUUAAAACAGCUAGUUUCAUCAUAUGCAUGCUCCUGGGAGCAUUUUAGGCAGAAUUGGUCACUUUUGCAUGAAAAGUUACAUUGCCACUAGAAAUAUGCUAUUCUCACUCAGAAACGCUGUUCUGAGCUAGAUAUGCUUUAAAACAGCUAGUUUCAUCAUAUGCAUGCUCCUGGGAGCAUUUUAGGCAGAAUUGGUCACUUUUGCAUGAAAAGUUACAUUGCCACGAGAAAUAUGCUAUUCUCACUCAGAAACGCUGUUCUGAGCUAGAUAUGCUUUAAAACAGCUAGUUUCAUCAUAUGCAUGCUCUUGGGAGCAUUUUAGGCAGAAUUGGUCACUUUUGCAUGAAAAGUUACAUUGCCACUAGAAAUAUGCUAUUCUCACUCAGAAACGCUGUUCUGAGCUAGAUAUGCUUUAAAACAGCAAGUUUCAUCAUUUGCAUGCUCCUGGGAGCAUUUUAGGCAGAAUUGGUCACUUUUGCAUGAAAAGUUACAUUGCCACUAGAAAUAUGCUAUUCUCACUCAGAAACGCUGUUCUG